rnacentral:rRNA from 1 species
GAUGAACGCUAGCGGCAGGCCUAAUACAUGCAAGACGGACGGGAUUGUGGAGCUUGCUUCACAUGAGAGUGGCGCACGGGUGCGUAACACGUAUGUAACCUACUCUUGUCAGGGGGAUAGCCUCUCGAAAGAGAGAUUAAGACCGCAUAACAUUGUUUUGUGGCAUCACAGAACAAUCAAAUAUUUAUAGGACAAGGAUGGGCAUGCGGAACAUUAGCUAGUUGGUAAGGUAACGGCUUACCAAGGCUACGAUGCUUAGGGGAUCUGAGAGGAUGGCCCCCCACACUGGUACUAAGACACGGACCAGACUCCUACGGGAGGCAGCAGUAAGGAAUAUUGGUCAAUGGGCGGAAGCCUGAACCAGCCAUGCCGCGUGCAGGAAGACGGCCCUACGGGUUGUAAACUGCUUUUACAGGGGAAUAAACCUCGGUACGUGUACCGAGCUGAAUGUACUCUGAGAAUAAGGAUCGGCUAACUCCGUGCCAGCAGCCGCGGUAA